ACGAACGCUGGCGGUGUGCUUAACACAUGCAAGUCGAACGGAAAGGCCCUGCUUUUGUGGGGUGCUCGAGUGGCGAACGGGUGAGUAACACGUGAGUCACCUGCCCUUGACUUUGGGAUAACUUCAGGAAACUGGGGCUAAUACCGGAUAGGAGCUGCUGCUGCAUGGUGGGGGUUGGAAAGUUUCGGCGGUUGGGGAUGGACUCGCGGCUUAUCAGCUUGUUGGUGGGGUAGUGGCUUACCAAGGCUUUGACGGGUAGCCGGCCUGAGAGGGUGACCGGCCACAAUGGGACUGAGAUACGGACCAGACUCCUACGGGAGGCAGCAGUGGGGAAUAUUGCACAAUGGGCGGAAGCCUGAUGCAGCAACGCCGCGUGCGGGAUGACGGCCUUCGGGUUGUAAACCGCUUUCGCCUGUGACGAAGCGUGAGUGACGGUAAUGGGUAAAGAAGCACCGGCUAACUACGUG
rnacentral:rRNA from 1 species